ACACGGGAAAGGAGGUGGUCCAGACUUGUAUAGCAAUCGGACUCGUGAGGUGGCUGUCCGCUAGCCGCUGUCCUCGACAGUGAAACACCAGCUCGAUCGUCGAGACCGUGUGGCAGCGGUGCGGCGAAACCACGACAGCCACCCGACCCCCGGGGUGCCGACCCAGUCCAGUCGGCCCGCGCGCAGCGCGGAAGCCCCGGGGGUCGCUUCGU
rnacentral:sRNA from 1 species